AUCCAGAUGAUAAGUCCCAAAUAGGACAAAAUACGUAUCCUAGAU
rnacentral:hammerhead_ribozyme from 1 species